GUGGUCGGCUAGGCGGUCGCGUCCGGUUUUUAAGACCGGUCGAGGAAAGUCCGGGCUCCCACUGACACGGUGGUGGGUAACGCCCACCCGGAGCAAUCCGCGGGAAAGUGCCACAGAAAGCAAACCGCCCGCCCUACGGGGCAGGUAAGGGUGAAAGGGUGGUGUAAGAGACCACCGCGGCCCCGGCGACGGGGUCGGCACGGUAAACCCCACCGGGAGCAAGGCCAGACAGGGGACGUUAGCAGGCCGUCAGUCCGAGUCCCCGGGUAGGCCGCUAGAGCGCGUCGGCAACGGCGCGCGGAGAUGGAUGACCGUCCCUAGACAGAACCCGGCUUAUCGGCCGGCCACCUCU
rnacentral:RNase_P_RNA from 1 species